GUGCCUGAUUUGGCAGUACAUGUACUAAAAUUAGAAUGAGACAGAGAAGAUUAGCAUGGCCCCUGCACAAGGAUGACACGUGAAUUCAUGAAGUGUUUCAUAUUUUU
ensembl:snRNA U6 U6 spliceosomal RNA